UCACGCUCUAUAAAAUCCAGCAUUCCGAAAUGGCUGUCAGGUGCGGUGGCUAAGCCUGGGGACAUAUGAAGCCGGUAUGUUUUAAAGUUGUCGUUUGCUUGCAUAUUGUAAAAACAACCGUCCAACAUUUUACAACUAAUUGUAAACUUGUAGGUGCCGAACAUCAGGGACGUGUUGCGACGAGAGAGUGUGUCGAUGAUAAGAUAUUAAGCCGAGUUGGUAAGUGAAUCUGUUUGCUAAUAGUAGCGACUAGCCGUACCCAUGUAUUUCCUAUGGGCGGUUAGCAUCGGGUUUUAAUCCCGUUUCCUCCAAUGUUUCUGAUCCGAUUGAAUGUAUAUUUAUGUCGAGUCUUUAUUUUGAGUAUUUACAUAUGGUAACUGAAUGUUGUGGCGUUUUAAGGCCAUUUGCACUUUUUAUGCUAUGGUAAAGACAAUGAAUGAAUACUGCCGCUGGUGUGCGGUUACACCCGUCAUAGUGACGUCACUGUUAGUUAAUGUUACUCCCGUCAUAGUGACAACACUGUGUACUGUCGUGUUUAUUUUAUACAUGCAUGUGAUUGUUAAUGUUAGCAGUAUUAUAGCUAAUAAUGAUAAUAAUAAGUGUAACUUAUUUAUUGAAGGUCGAACGAUAGAUGACUUAAUGUUGAUGUUUAUGUGCGCACAUUGAUUGAACUUCGGGUCCUGUGCUUACGCAGGCCAGGUCCCUAAGUCUUGGAUGGCGAGCUGUAGAUAGGCCUCGAGCCUGAGCCCAAGGAUCUCCACCUGUUCUGGUCGGGCCGGUGUUGGUGCUGUCGUCUUUGGUCCCAUCCAGACUUCCAUCCUGGCCCAUCUGGAGAUAGAAGCCCUGCCUGCAGAACAACCUGGUCACUAUGCCCUUCAGCUGUGGUUCUAUGGGAAACAAGGCAAGGGAAGGAGUCAAAGGCACGUCUGAAAUUCAGCCUGAGCAAAGUGGCAGCGUGUGACGCCACAUCCCCACGGACUUCCAGAGAGGACCAGUCAAGCACAUCAAAUCCAUCACAGGAUUCUUGGGACUAAUCCUUCCUUCCUGGUCAUUGUUCCACUUGGAAAACCCCGAUAAGGUUGCCAGGUCAGAUGGGAGGAAUCACUGCCUAAAAAAAUGGAGCCGGAUAAACUAGUGCCACAUGCAUGUGACCACACCCACUGUGUUAAAAGCAUGCGGGAAUCCCCUUUGAGCAUGUUGUGUGCGUGCGUGAGCGUAAACGUAGAGUCAAGGUGAUGCGCAGACACCAAACCGAGGCUGACCCAGUUUGGGAGGCGUGCAUGAAAGAGGGGGCAGAGGCGCUGGGGGUGUUUUCCAUCUUUGUGACGGAUCCAUUUUGUGCAGCGGGAAGAAAGAGGUGUCAAGUUGGUGUGAAGCUUUGCAUGGAAGUGUGCUUGUGAAGUGUGACACUAUGUAGUCACAAAUUCAUCUGUACAUUACAUCAACACUACUAUAAUGAGCAUUAACAUGGAGGCUCCAGUGUCUUGUCCUGUUGGUUUAAAUACGUUACAUGACAGCAGUGUAUUUCUUGACGUCAGUGGAUACACAGUAUACAGUAUGCGCCUGGUGGUGUGAAUUUUAAAAGCACAUUAAAAAAAGACCUGCACUCACAAAUUUCCGCCACCCUUAUACAACAGGAAUUCCCCAAUCACUGUGUUGCAGCAUACUAUCAAAUUGUAUUAAUGUUAUCCAAAAUGUUUUACUUAUUUUAUAUUUUUCUAUUUAUUAUAUUUACUUUGCUUGUCUAUGCUAGUAAAAUAUAGUGGUAGGCAGAACAGUGAAAGCACCAGUAGAGUGGAAAAACAAGUUGACUUGAUGUUAGAGAUGUCCGAUAAUGGCUUUUUUGCCAAUAUCCGAUAUUGUCCAACUCUUAAUUACCGAUUCCGAUAUCAACCGAUACCGAUAUAUACAGUCGUGGAAUUAACACAUUAUUAUGCCUAAUUUUGCUGUGAUGCCCCGCUGGAUGCAUUAAACAAUGUAAGAAGGUU